rnacentral:rRNA from 1 species
AGCGAACGCUGGCGGCAGGCUUAACACAUGCAAGUCGAGCGGGCAUCCUCGGAUGUCAGUGGAAGACGGGUGAGUAACACGUGGGAACGUACCCUUCGGUUCGGAACAACUCUGGGAAACUGGAGCUAAUACCGGAUACGCCCUUAUGGGGAAAGGUUUACUGCCGAAGGAUCGGCCCGCGUCUGAUUAGCUAGUUGGUGGGGUAACGGCCUACCAAGGCGACGAUCAGUAGCUGGUCUGAGAGGAUGAUCAGCCACACUGGGACUGAGACACGGCCCAGACUCCUACGGGAGGCAGCAGUGGGGAAUAUUGGACAAUGGGCGCAAUCCUGAUCCAGCCAUGCCGCGUGAGUGAUGAAGGCCUUAGGGUUGUAAAGCUCUUUUGUCCGGGACGAUAAUGACGGUACCGGAAGAAUAAGCCCCGGCUAACUUCGUG